CGAGUGUCGGAUUUCGACAUUUUUAUAAAUACAUUAAUUGGAACGUCAAUGUUUUUAUGAAGUGAAUAUCCUCGAUAAAUUAAUGUAUCUUCUGUUUAUAAUUAUACAUUUCGUUUAAUUUUACCUUAUUUCAUUUUUCACUAUACUUUUACUAAUUCGGUUUGAAACGGUAAUUCUUUGUCCGUUUUGUCCUUCAUUGAUAAAUAUUUAUUUGAUAAUAUCUUUCGACUAUUUGAUACGGUUAAAACCAGUAAACCAAAAGUGUCGAUAAAAGUAAGGAGUAAAUUUGAAGAAAUUUGAUUAAAAUGAAGCUAGACACACGCGGUGUUAGUUCGAAUUGGUAUCGUCGACCACGAAAACGUCCGCUGGUAGGACCUACAGGGUCUCCUCUCCUAGACGCGACUUUAGCUGUGCAAACUAGAGCUUUUCGAUGGUUUCGCAAAAAUAAAUCUGUCAACAUUACAAAGCGAGUCACAUUUCGAGAUGAAGCAAUUAUAUCUAUGUCGGUAGCCGGGGAAGUAACCGACACUUCAAUUAUGGAAGUAGGCCGUUCAAGACCUCAAUUCCAAUAUUCCCGGGAGGAAUUAAUGCUGAUAAAGAGUUUGCCAUUAUCUAAGAGGAGGCCUGAUUUCUUAGAUACCUCAUAUAACAAUUCGCGUGGUGUAUGGGAUCCUGAACGUUGGCAUUCGGGUAGGAAGCGAAGUGAUACACCACCAAAAGAUGAAAGAACUGGACGCGGUGAUCAAGUUACUGAAAAUCAUAACAAACGUCGCAAUGGAGAUCCACGUGAACGAAUUCGUAAGGAACAAGAUGGAAUAGUAUUGAGUCCUCAACGUAGAAGUUUUAAUUCAGGUUGUUUUGUCAACGUGAAUCAACCUUCGAAUCGACGUCCUGAAAGUCCAAUAGGAAAAACAGAGGUUAGCCAUAGAGAACCUGUUCGACGAAUUGGAAGCGGUAGAAUUUUAACUCGCGAUAUAUGGGACUUUAGACCAGAGAAUGAGAAAUUAGAACCUGCUUUUCGAUCUGGAGCAGGUGGUGGUACUUCUAUGCGUGAUCGUGAUAACAGAGAUAUUCGCGAUGGAAAAGAUCGGGAGAAUGCGAGAGAAAGAGAUCGUGAUCGCGACAAUUUGCGUGAACGAGAUGAGAGAAAUGAACGGUUCGAAAGAAGAUCUUUUGGUCGUGAUUAUAGUGAUAGAGAAAGGGAACGAGAUCGAGAUAGAGCAACUGAACGGAAUGAUCGUAAUCAUCAAUCGGAACGUGAUAAGGAUCGUGGUCGCGAACGAAGAUUUAGUAAUGAUCGUAGACGAACUUAUAGCGAAAAUCGUAGUGAUGCGGAUGAACCAGAAUGGUUUAGUUCUGGACCAACAUCUCAACAUGAUACUAUUGAAUUAAGAGGUUUUGAAGAUAUCCCAGAAGAAAAAGCGGUGAACAAUAAUAACAGCAAUACUAAAAACAAAAAACAAACUCCAGUCCAGAAAAAACGCGGAAAGAAAAACUCAUUGGAAAAAGAUGAAAAGCAAAACGAAAAUUCAACAGGUCCGAAAGGACGAAGUACACCAACUACGAUGGAUCAAUCUUUAAACGUUGUAGCCGCGCCUCAUUCGCCGAUUUCUGAACAAAAUGAAUCAUCAUCUCUCGUACAAAAAACUAAUCACGAUUCUAAUGUGAGUACCAUGACUGAACAAAGUUGUGAGACAACAGAUAAUUCUAGCACCAUUAAUCAAAACCAAGAGGACAGUCAUCCUGAUUUCAAUCUUGAUGAAUUUUUAAAAUCUGAUACAUUCCCUGGCGUACCUGGGCUUUUAACUAAUGGAGUUGGUUCAAAUGGAGGUUCUUGUUCCCGAUUUAGUCAAUGGUUUAAAAGAGAGAGUCCAGUUCAACAAGUAGAUAGUCGUAGAACUUCUAUACAGGAUGAUAUAUUGAACAAUCUUCUUAAUGAUAUUACUGAGCCAAAUAUUCAAAUUCCGUCAGUGACAGAAUCUAAUACAUAUUUUGCUCCCAUUUCUCCUGCUAAUACGACAACAACAAAUAAUACUACAUCUAACACUACUAGCGUAAAGCUGCUAGAAAUGCUGCAGCGUGGAAACAAAUCAAGUCAGAAUGGACAAGGAGAUGCAGCUAAUACUGUCAUACCAAUGAUGAAAAGUUCAUCCAUUAAAGAUAUGGAAGUUGGUGGAAAAGUUGUGCAUAGUCUUGAAGAAUUAGAAGCACGUAUGCGAGGUGGCGUUCCCCCACCUACUUCUUCAACUGAUCAACCUCAUGUAAAUAAGACUGAAGAAGAUCUCUCUGCGUUUAAAAAAUUGCUUGCUCAAGUAACUGGAGGACAGGCUAUACCAGCGGCAAACGGUCCUAUUUCACAAAAACAACCUGUAACACUCAUACAAUUACUUAACUCACAACUGAAAACACAACCAAUUGCUCCCCAACAAUCGGUUCCAGAACCAAUGCAUACUACAACAUUUAAUCAUGUUGGUUCUCUUGGGCCAACUCAACAUCCACAUCAACACAAUGCACAAAUGCAACAUGAAAAUUUAAUGAAAGUAUUACAGAUUCAACAACAACAGAAACAACAUCAUCAACAACAACAGCAUUCAGAUAUGUUAUCUAUGAUGAUGGGUGGUCAACGAAUGUUAGGUAUGAGUCCCGUUCCUCCGGAAAUGCAAAUAAUGUUGAGUAAUGCUCCAACAAGUCAGGAACUUCUCCAAAGACCGGAAGCUCAAGCAAUUAUUCAAGGUCUACAACAAGGAGAAAUAACUAGACAACAUCUCAUACAGCAAUUACAGAAUCCAGCCAUGCAACAUCGUCACAGGGAAGUCUUAGUAAAUAUUUUGAAAAUGUAUGGUGGCACUACGCCGCGUACUAUAAGUCCGCAUCCUAGUGCACCUACACCUCAAGAUCAUAUUUUACAACAAAUGUUAUAUCAGCAGCAACAACAAAGAAUUCCAUCUCCUAUGAAUAAUGCUUAUUGUCCACCUUCAAUAAUAUCUCCAAAUUUGACUGCUAGUCCCAGUACAUUAACAGUACAGCAUCCAGUGAUGCAGCAUAGAGUUCCUUCACCACGGGAAAUUGUUAUGCAUGCUCAAUCUAUAAUGCAAAGUGCUUUAAUUAAGAAAAAGUUGGAGGAACAACGUGAAAACUUCCGAAAGCGACAAGAUCAACAGCAGCAGCAGCAACAACAAGCUCAACAAAGAGCAUCAAGUCCCGUUAACUCACCAGCAAAACAAACUAUGAGUCCAACACCACUUGCUUUUACUCCGACAUCAGUGUUACGUAAAAUGACUGCCGAUAAGGAACCUGAGGGUAAUAGUAAUGAUCCAUCGAAAUUGGGAACCCAAUCACAAACAUCUCAAAUGCAACAAAUGCAAUCUGCAGUUCAAUUGUUGACACAAGGAGUUCUUUCUCGACAUAAUACUUUACGACCACAGUCUGUUCAAUCUACUUGGUCAAAUCCAACUAUAAAACAACAUCCAGGUCGACCCAUAGUAAAAGGUGGUGGUGGUAGUGGUGGUAAUGGUGGUAAUCAAUUUCAAUAUGGUGGAAACUCAGAUUUCCAACAACAGCAACAACAACAACAACAACAUAGAACGGUUUCAAGCGUAUAUGGUAAUCCUGCACGCUCCAAACAUACCAUGACUAGUUCCAUAGCACAUCAUAAUGUUCCACAAUACAAUGUUGCUCAAAAUUCAAUGAUAAAUCAGAGGUCGAAUAGUAUGAAUAAUCAAAUGAAGAUGCAACAAGCUCCAUCACAUCUAGCUAAUAUGCAACAUCAACCACCGCAACAACAACAACGGAUUCUUAAUUCACAAAUGCAAAUGGUCUUAAAUCAAAACUAUAACUCCAGUCGUGCAGGUGUCUACCUCUUGUCUAAUCAAAUUGCAUGCAAUGGUGUUCAGAAAUUGGAAUAAUUAGAUAUCACAUUUUAGCCGUUCCUCUUAUUUAAAUCGUCUAGACAGCAUUUAUCUUUGGAUCGAAAUUAAAAUGGGCGAGUAAUGCGGUCGCAGCAAUUGAAUAUGCCCGUAGGUCGACAAGCAUCACCAGGUUUGGGAUACGUGGGUAGCAAUGGUGGAGAUCUUUCACCAACUUCAAAUCAGUUGGCACGAUGGUUUAGUCCAGAACUU
rnacentral:misc_RNA from 1 species